CUCAGCCAGAAACGCCGUAGCAGGUCUCCUAUACUGGUUUUUCAUAUUUUUGCACCAUAUCAAGAGAAACGAGAUUCAAGUCGUGAUCGAGGGAAAAAUAAAGUUUACGAGGAAUAAGCUCGAUUGCUAAUAUUUUAUAUCGAGGUAAGUUCAUAUGAUUUUUAAUAAUGCAAUGUGUAAUUUAAUGUUUUGAAAUGAAAAUUUCAUGAAUGAUAUAGUAUAUUAUUGCAUAUAAAAUAUCAUUAAACUGUGAUAAUUGUAAAAUGAUAUUUGAAUAAAAGUACAAAUUAAAUGGAACAACGGACUUGAGUACUUUCAUUCAGUGGCUAAGACGAAUUGACGGAAAAGACCAUGGUUGGACCAUGGCAGCAUGUGAAAUGUGAUUUCCGUAUAAGACCAUAGCUGGGCUAUGGCUUCGGAGAAAUGUGAUAUGUGUUUCCGUAUAAGACCAUAUCCAGGAUAUGGCAUCGGUGUGAUAUGUGCUACUGUAUAAGACCAUAUCUGGGAUAUGGCAUCAGUGUGAUAUGUGAUCCGUGUAAGACCAUGGCUGGGCUAUGGCCUCGGUAUGUGAUAUGUGACUAUGUGCAAGACCAUAGUUUUACUAUGGCAUUGUGAUAAUGAGGUACUCAAUUCCGUAAUCGUUCCCUAAUUUGAUUAUGAACGAAAAUGUAAAAUGGCCCGAAAAGAUUAAGAAUUGGUGAAUACUAUGAAAAUGACACAAUUUGGAAUAAGUUCUUGAUACUUGAUGACAUUGAGAUUAUGGAUCUAUGCUUAUGAAGCAUAAUUAUGUGUUCUUAACAUGAUGGAUGAAAUGAUAUUGUAUGGAUUUAGUGAAUAAUAGUGGUGAAUGAAUAAAUAUGACCUUGGCAGUUUUGGGUUACUGCAGUAGUGUAUAUUUUGAAAUUCACCAUAAAUUGUGGAAAUUGAGUUAAGGGCUGAAUAAAAUAUGAGAUUAAAGCCUGAUGAGUUUAGUUUCAUAUAGAGGAAACGGUGCAUGCAAUUGGAUUUUAUGUUAUAAGAUAUUUAAAUUGUUGUGAGACAGAGUUUGAAUGAUUCGAGAUCCCCUGUUCUGAUUUUAGAAAAUCAUUAGAAAUUGUACAAAAAUAAUUAUGAGUUUUAAUUUAUAUAUUUAAAAUCCUUAUCGAGUCUACUUUCAAGAGGGAUAGACAGGAACAUCAUCCAAGUCCCGAAUUAUGAGAUAAAUAAUUUUUAGUGAAGAGAGAUCAGAACUGUUGGACAGAGAAACAGGGGAGACUUUAAUGAAUAAACUGUACUAAAUGGCUAAACCAAAAAUUCUGGAAAUUUUAUGUCAGAAAGGUAUAUGAAUCUAGUUUCAAGGAAAAUUAACGGAACUUAAUUUGAAGUUUCGUAGCUCCAGAAAUAAAUUAUUUAGUAAAUGUAUCUCGAUAAAACAGUUUAAGCUGAGUAUGUAUAAUUGUGCAAUUGUGGUGUUUUAUCUUAAAAGCAUGUUGGUAAUUGCUUAUUAAUUUCAUAUGGACUUACUAAGCAUUUAUGCUUACUCCCUCCUUUUCAUUCCUUGUAGUUUUGAUAAGCCAGCUCGGAAAUCGGGAACGGUCGGAGGCCCACUCACACUAUCCGUAUACCAUCUUGGCGUAAUGGCUUGUAUAUUUUGAGUAUGGCAUGUAUAGCAUUAUAAUCAUUUUGUAAAUAUGGUCUUAUGAUAUGGAUAUUGAGUGGUAUGGAAAUGUUUGGUAAUGAUUAGCCAUUGGAAUGGCUAAUCAUGAUCAUAUUUGGUGUUAUAUAUGCUAAAUUGCUAGCUAAUCCAUGGAAACCAUGAAAUAGGCAAAAUUUACCAUAAAAUAGAUCCAGACAGCAGCAGUGAUGUGAGUUUGAAAAAUCAUUAAAAAUAGUAGAGAU
rnacentral:lncRNA from 1 species